GUGUCACUGUUUGCUGAAAGCUAGUGAUUGUACGUUAAAAUAGGGAACUACUUUGUAUGCGGCACGCGGAGUAGUACAGUAGCGAACUACAGUAGCGCGAGAUAAAAGACUCGAACAAGGGCGUAGGCAACGGGAGUUGCGAGAAGAUGGAGGACUGCGGAUGUGCGGGCGCGAAUUGUGCGGCGAUGAAGUGUGGAAUACUGAGAUGGCAGAAGGAUGGUGUUGGUUGAAGGUUCAGAUGGUUUUCUCAAGUCAGGUUUCCCUUCUAACUACAUCGUGUCAGCCCUGUUACCAUGAUAAUUCUUCAAAUUUUCUGAUGGCGGUACCCAGGCUUCUCAAGACUUUCGAGCUAGAACAUCAGCUUUUAUUCUCAUUUACUUGACAUCUGAGUUAAAAGUGGACUGGUGGCAUAUCGAGUGCUGCUAUUAGCCCGUGGCUGCUUAUGGAGUGCAGUCUGCCUAUUGGAUGUCGAAUGGUCAGAAUGGAUACGCCAGUACAUCUCUUCUGGGGAUGCAGUAGUGCCUGCAGCUACCUAUGAGGCGCUGUCAGUGGACAGCAGACCAGUUCGAGGGACCCACCUGAACUGUCUGUCAUUCCGAUUUGGGGUACAGCAAGGACAACGGAAACCCUGUGCCACACUUGGGGUUAAAUCCAUCCAGCAGCUGCUCUUCAAAGAGAACUUGGUGACACUGCCAACUCCUCUGCAACCAGGGCCUUUAAAAUAUCCUGACAGCCUAUUUGCGGGAUGCCUUCGCACCCAUGAUAACUUUUCCGUAAGGGUGCAUUCAGUGUGCAGGUGCUCUGGCCUCAGUAUAUGUCCAGGCUGUAGAUAGCCUGAGAGCCUUCUUAAUGGGACAUACAAGAGCCAAUAUGGGUGUUGUCAGAUUAGCAACUAUUCAGAUCAUGGGACUCGGAUUAUGCCAGAGUACCAGAGUAAUUUACAUUUUAUGGAAUGUAGUAUACUGAGUACAGAGCAUCAGUUCAUUUGGUAAUGAACCCAGCCAUCAUUCUGGGCAAAUAACUUGUCAGAGUCACAUUUUUUGUGAGAGAACUAUUCUCAUACUACGGUAUAUUGAUAAUUUUCACUUAUGGACCGUCUGACAGCAACUGAAUAAAACACAAUUUUAGUGCCAUACGCGUUUCGCCUUUAUUUUCUGCAAGGCAAAUGUAAAUAAAAUA
rnacentral:lncRNA from 1 species